rnacentral:rRNA from 1 species
ACACAUGCAGUCGAGCGGUAACAGAUCCAGCUUGCUGGAUGCUGACGAGCGGCGGACGGGUGAGUAAUGCAUAGGAAUCUGCCCGAUAGUGGGGGAUAACCUGGGGAAACCCAGGCUAAUACCGCAUACGUCCUACGGGAGAAAGGGGGCUCCGGCUCCCGCUAUGGGAUGAGCCUAUGUCGGAUUAGCUAGUUGGUGAGGUAACGGCUCACCAAGGCCACGAUCCGUAGCUGGUCUGAGAGGAUGAUCAGCCACAUCGGGACUGAGACACGGCCCGAACUCCUACGGGAGGCAGCAGUGGGGAAUAUUGGACAAUGGGGGAAACCCUGAUCCAGCCAUGCCGCGUGUGUGAAGAAGGCCCUCGGGUUGUAAAGCACUUUCAGCGAGGAAGAACGCCUAGCGGUUAAUACCCGCUAGGAAAGACAUCACUCGCAGAAGAAGCACCGGCUAACUCCGUGCCAGCAGCCGCGGUAAUACGGAGGGUGCAAGCGUUAAUCGGAAUUACUGGGCGUAAAGCGCGCGUAGGUGGCUUGAUAAGCCGGUUGUGAAAGCCCCGGGCUCAACCUGGGAACGGCAUCCGGAACUGUCAAGCUAGAGUGCAGGAGAGGAAGGUAGAAUUCCCGGUGUAGCGGUGAAAUGCGUAGAGAUCGGGAGGAAUACCAGUGGCGAAGGCGGCCUUCUGGACUGACACUGACACUGAGGUGCGAAAGCGUGGGUAGCAAACAGGAUUAGAUACCCUGGUAGUCCACGCCGUAAACGAUGUCGACCAGCCGUUGGGUGCCUAGCGCACUUUGUGGCGAAGUUAACGCGAUAAGUCGACCGCCUGGGGAGUACGGCCGCAAGGUUAAAACUCAAAUGAAUUGACGGGGGCCCGCACAAGCGGUGGAGCAUGUGGUUUAAUUCGAUGCAACGCGAGAACCUUACCUACUC